AUUGAACGCUGGCGGCAGGCCUAACACAUGCAAGUCGAACGGUAACAGGAAGAAGCUUGCUUCUUUGCUGACGAGUGGCGGACGGGUGAGUACUUUCUGGGAAACUGCCUGAUGGAGUGGGAUAACUACUGGAAACGGUAGCUACUACCGCAUAACGUCGCAAGACCAAAGAGGGGGACCUUCGGGCCUCUUGCCUUCGGAUGUGCCCAGAUGGGAUUAGCUAGUAGGUGGGGUAACGGCUCACCUAGGCGACGAUCCCUAGCUGGUCUGAGAGGAUGACCAGCCACACUGGAACUGAGACACGGUCCAGACUCCUACGGGAGGCAGCAGUGGGGAAUAUUGCACAAUGGGCGCAAGCCUGAUGCGGCCAUGCCGCGUGUAUGAAGAAGGCCUUCGGGUUGUAAAGUACUUUCAGCGGGGAGGAAGGGAGUAAAGUUAAUACCUUUGCUCAUUGACGUUACCCGCAGAAGAAGCACCGGCUAACUCCGUG
rnacentral:rRNA from 1 species